CUCUCUCACCCCCUGGUCAGGGGCCCCGUGCAAAUUAUCCGGCCUGCGCACGAGGUCGGAUUUCAGGCGGCUAGUGUCAUGCCGUUCCGGUCUUAAACUUUAGCUAAUAUUUAAUACAUCUUAGAUAAAUUUGGAUUAAAGCUAGCUAGCAAAAAUUCCCCAAUUGGAAGAGUUUAGCAAAAAAAAAAAAAAAAAAAAAAAAAAAACAACCCAGUGCUUAGCAUCAGUUAGGUUAGUCUCGCUAUUUAUAUUUAGCCAAGUUUUACCAACAAGCAUACAUUUAAUGCACAAUGUACAAAUUAUUUAUGUGUUACUGCUGUGUAUAAGUGAUUUAUUUGAAGCUAGUCAAAGUUGAUGGUCGUAGUGAUGAACUUUUUUUCCCCUUUCUCCCUGUAUCGUGCGAUUUCGGAUCUUUUAUUAAUACUUUAUUUAUUUAUUUUUGCAACAUAAACGGAAUCUCUGUUAUAUGCAAAAAAAAAUAGAUUUUAAUUCGAGCAUCACAUUUUAUUCUGUUUCCCAGCGCGAUCCUCAUAUUCUGAAAAUAUAUUUUAAAAUUAUAUUUUAAUUCAUGUACCAGGAUUCAUUCAUUCUGAUUCUCUGCGGCCGCAGAGCACGUGUUGACUGAGCGGUCGCGACAGUCUACCCCUCCACCCUCUAAAGAGAUGAUAUGAUGCGCCAGGUGUAUAUGGUUGCUCGAGAACUUGUGACAGGUGUUUCGGUGGGAAAAGAACUUUAGGGUAUAUAAGAAACGAGACGGACUAACAUUUUCCAUGAAGAAAUUCGGGGAUCGACAUGAUGGCUCAUGGUAAGAAAACUUGUUGAAAUUAUAAGGUAUUUCUUUUCUCUUAAAAACAUUGUUUAAAUAAUCACUUUAUGUAUUCUCAGCUUUAAAAGUUCAAGCUGAAAUUCACCAGGUGCCUGAGUAUCAGGUUACAGCGGAAGAACUAGAGGGUAUUAGCCUCACUCAGACAGACCCAGAUUUUACACGGGGAAUUAAUCCUGAUGAGUUUGCGAGAGGAUCGGGAAGCGACAGUCUCGCGGACGAUUUGGAUUUGAUUCUAACAGGGGCCUCGCCAGCGAUCUAGCGAGAUCGUCGCGUUCCCUCCUCUCCUCCGAGAAGCGGAAAUGGCGUAAUAGAAAUAUCAACAACUCGCGAGCGUGACACCAGUUUUAAAAGUCUGUGAUGCGCCUCAGCGAGCGAAGAGACGGAGAUUAGUCAGUAAGACAGCGUCUCUAGUGAAGCGAUUAUUUACAGAUUCAGUCGAAUCACCCGCGUGUUCAACCAGGGAAGGGGGUUGUGGAUCUCAAAGCGUGAUUAACGAGACCGAAGCGGAGACCGAAUCGGAUAACGGCCCAGAACCGAAUCAGGAAGCAGAGCGAAGUCGGAGAGAGCGCCAGAGUCCCACUAGACCUCUGUUUAAGCGCAGGUUUCCUCAGAGUGACCCCGACGCCAGCGUCUCUAACCAGGAAGCGAGACCUGAACGGGCCCGUCGGUUGAGAAUAGCGCCACCUCUCCGCCAGCGCCGUGACAGCGGAAUCUUGCGACUCGCUGAAAUAACGAGCGAUUUGAUUCGCGACCUGAUUCGUGACUACAGCGCCACGUUUUCUAACGCGUGUGAAAAAGGUUUUGUGUGAAAGGUUUGAAUGCAUGUCCGUGUCGAGCUAUAUUUUGAUGUUGUGAAUUCAUGUUUUCGAAUGUAUGUUAGCAUCAGGGAAAUAUUUCUGACAUUGUGAAUGCUGGGUUAUAGAUAGGGGGAAAAUUAUAUAAUAAAAGUGUGCAAGAAAAAUAAAAAAAUCAUUUAACCCUGAGGUGUGACGUUUUAUUUAGACCCCUCGU